GACGAACGCUGGCGGCGUGCUUAACACAUGCAAGUCGAACGGAAAGGCCCUGCUUUUGUGGGGUGCUCGAGUGGCGAACGGGUGAGUAACACGUGAGUAACCUGCCCUUGACUUUGGGAUAACUUCAGGAAACUGGGGCUAAUACCGGAUAGGAGCUCCAGCUGCAUGGUGGGGGUUGGAAAGUUUCGGCGGUGGGGGAUGGACUCGCGGCUUAUCAGCUUGUUGGUGGGGUAGUGGCUUACCAAGGCUUUGACGGGUAGCCGGCCUGAGAGGGUGACCGGCCACAUUGGGACUGAGAUACGGCCCAGACUCCUACGGGAGGCAGCAGUGGGGAAUAUUGCACAAUGGGCGGAAGCCUGAUGCAGCAACGCCGCGUGCGGGAUGACGGCCUUCGGGUUGUAAACCGCUUUCGCCUGUGACGAAGCGUGAGUGACGGUAAUGGGUAAAGAAGCACCGGCUAACUACGUG
rnacentral:rRNA from 1 species